rnacentral:misc_RNA from 1 species
ACAGAGAUCACAGAGAAAAAGAGAGAGAAAGAGAAUUGGGGUUCGAGAAAAUCUCUCCCUCUUUUCUCUCUCUUUCUCUGUGAUCUCU